rnacentral:ncRNA from 1 species
UUAAAAAGGGGCCGAAGAAGCUUCUUCAAGAUUUAGUCCGUCACGUAAUUAUCACCUCUUUCGAUUUUGAUCAGCUAAUCUCUAAUAUAAUCUCGAUUAUCAUCACAGCUAAUCUCUAAUCUAAAUCUAAUUAAGGUUCAUCACACCAACAAACUAUCAAUUACAAGUCCUUUGAUUUCUUCCACCGCAAUGUAGCAGCCACGAUCUCUCUUCACUUUCACCGUUACUUUCCUGAUCAGACGGUUCUACUUUAACAUCCGUUGUUCCAGGUUGCCGCAGCCGUAAAUCAUGACAAUGCUCCAUCAUUGCUUGUUCCCCUUCCCUAACACGCUUCAUGCCUAUCGAGAAACCGAAUAAUCUCGCCUGCGCUUCCUCCGGUACCUCAUGGCUCUCCCGGUCCUCUACCGCCUUCACCUGAGAUUCACCUACGGACCGUUCCGUCCCUAACAGAUCCAGUGGCUUCAACGAAGGCGAACUACUCUCCGCCGAUUGAUUACCGCUGCUCGAAGGAUGUGCGUAAGUCGACAUCAUACCAUAUAUAUUGCCGCAGAGCUUCUUCAUUUGGUUCAACUCUUUGCUGAGCUGUAAAUUCUCCAAUCUUAACCGUUCGUUUUCUCCUAAAAGCUCCGCUGUGCUACCUGCAGAUGAGUUCGACGAUAGAACUUGCUCUUCACAGGAAUCAGAGGUAGAUACAGCCCAGGAAAAAAUGUUGCAGUAUCCAUCAUUCAUGUUACAGUAUCCAUGCUCUACUCGGAUCAUUCCGACGUCGUUUUUGCUCCCUGCUCAGUGGCCUCAGCCUCACAGCGACGAGCUCCUCCUUGCUAUGGAGGAAUCUGAUUUCGAAGAAAAGUGUAAUGAAAUCAGAAAAAUGAACAGCAACUUAGUUGUAAUUGGGAAGACUAACAUAGAUAAUGAUAAAGAAGACUUUGACAAUGAAGCAGAGGAUGAUGAUGCAGACAAUGGCGAUGAAUCAGAGGGUGAUGACUUUGAGCAGGAAACUGGUUGACAAUGCCUUGUUUGGUUUCUUAUAUCCGUAUGUGUAGUGUAUAUGGUUCUAAAAUUGCUGGAAUUUAUGUAUUGCUUUGAACUUCAAGUGUUUUGUACAGCCAAGGAGAGAUGAUUGGCAUUUCCCUAACAGAAAUGGGAAGAAGCUUCAUGCUUUCUGGCAGAAGAAUCAUAUAUUAUGUUUGAUUAUGUUAUUUGUGUGAUACAAAAUUUCGACUUCUACAUUAAUUUGAAUCUAUUCAUAUGCAGUUCGAUACUAUUUAAUCUGCUGACUGCCAGAAAGCAUGAAGGCGAUUCACGAUUAAAAAUGU